AACUGUUAAAGAUGAACCCUAAAAAGUUCUAAAAGCACAAAGAUUUGGUCCUGGUCUUAUUGUCAGUUAUCUCUUGAUUUACACAUGCAAGUCUCAGCACACCAGUGAGGACGCCCUUACCCCUUCUAUAGGACAAGGAGCUGAUAUCAGGCACUUCCACCGCCCAUAACAUCUAGUCCGACCACACCCCCAAGGGUAUUCAGCAGUGAUAAACAUUGUUUAUAAGCGACAGCUUGACUCAGUCAAAGAGAAGAGGGCCGGCCAACCCGGUGCCAGCCGCCGCGGCUAAACCCUAGGGCCCAAAUUGAUAAUACUCGGCGUCAAUCGUGAUUAAAGCUUUCUAAAAUUAGAGUAGAACCUAUUAUUAAGCUGUGAAAAGCAAUUUUUUUAGGGAAAAUCAGAAACGAAAGUUACUCUAAUAUACACUUGAACACACGACAACUGGGAAACAAACUGG
rnacentral:rRNA from 1 species